UCAAAUAAGAGGAGGCACAGAUCAAGUGAGGAGGUGUAUCAAAUGAUAUGUCCUUUCAUGUGGUACCAUAUUUUGACCAGGUCAACAGCACAUGCCAAUCACAUGUCCAUCAUGCCUCACCUCUUGAUCUUUCAUGAUGAUGAUCCAAGGGCUCCAAUGCAAGGCGCCAUUCACUUGACCCAUUAUGUCUUCAUCCAAUGGUGGGAUUAAGAUCCAAUGGUGGGAUUAAGAUCCAAUGGUCAAUUAUGAUAGCCAUCCUCUAACCCAAUCCAAUUGGGUUAAACCAACUCUCCAUUAUGUCUUCAUCCAAUGGUAGAUCAAGAUCUAACGGUCUAGAUUGAAUGAUUUAUUAAAUCUAAUCCAGUUAGACUCAAACCAAGCCAAUUAGGUGCCAACUCUUGGCUAACCCAUAUUAGAACAUGAUCUAAUCAAAUUAGAUCAAUUAAGAAUCAAAUUCGAAUCCAAUUCGAAUCAUAUUCGAAUCCAAUUCGAAUCAUAUUCGAAUCCAAUUCGAAUCAGGAGCUAAGGAUUUGCAACACCUGCUAGGAUGUUUAUCUUGCAAACAUGAUCUAAUCCAAUUAGAUCCUUGAUAAGUUUUCUUAUGUGUGACCCAUUGGGUUCCAUACUUAGCCAGCAAUAGGUGUGAGUGCGAGUUGACCCAACUUGAUUAGAACUCUUCUAAUCGAUUUAAGUCCAAACUGCGCGAACCCAAACUU
rnacentral:lncRNA from 1 species